AUUGAACGCUGGCGGCAGGCCUAACACAUGCAAGUCGAGCGGAUGAAGGGAGCUUGCUCCUGGAUUCAGCGGGGGACUGGUGGGUAAUGCAUAGGAAUCUGCCUGGUAGUGGGGGAUAACGUCCGGAAACGGGCGCUAAUAUCGCAUACGUCCUGAGGGAGAAAGUGGGGGAUCUUCGGACCUCACGCUCUCAGAUGAGCCUAGGUCGUAUUAGCUAGUUGGUGGGGUAAAGGCCUACCAAGUCGACGAUCCGUAACUCGUCUGAGAGGAUGAUCAGUCACACUGGAACUGAGACACGGUCCAGACUCCUACGGGAGGCAGCAGUGGGGAAUAUUGGACAAUGGGCGAAAGCCUGAUCCAGCCAUGCCGCGUGUGUGAAGAAGGUCUUCGGAUUGUAAAGCACUUUAAGUUGGGAGGAAGGGCAGUAAGUUAAUACCUUGCUGUUUUGACGUUACCAACAGAAUAAGCACCGGCUAACUUCGUG
rnacentral:rRNA from 1 species